rnacentral:rRNA from 1 species
GAUGAACGCUGGCGGCGUGCCUAAUACAUGCAAGUCGAGCGAACGGACGAGAAGCUUGCUUCUCUGAUGUUAGCGGCGGACGGGUGAGUAACACGUGGAUAACCUACCUAUAAGACUGGGAUAACUUCGGGAAACCGUAGCUAAUACCGGAUAAUAUUUUGAACCGCAUGGUUCAAAAGUGAAAGACGGUCUUGCUGUCACUUAUAGAUGGAUCCGCGCUGCAUUAUCUAGUUGGUAAGGUAACGGCUUACCAAGGCAACGAUGCAUAGCCGACCUGAGAGGGUGAUCGGCCACACUGGAACUGAGACACGGUCCAGACUCCUACGGGAGGCAGCAGUAGGGAAUCUUCCGCAAUGGGCGAAAGCCUGACGGAGCAACGCCGCGUGAGUGAUGAAGGUCUUCGGAUCGUAAAACUCUGUUAUUAGGGAAGAACAUAUGUGUAAGUAACUGUGCACAUCUUGACGGUACCUAAGCAGAAAGCCACGGCUAACUACGU